UACGAAGGGGGCUAGCGUUGCUCGGAAUUACUGGGCGUAAAGCGCACGUAGGCGGUCUUUUAAGUCUGGGGUGAAAUCCUGGAGCUCAACUCCAGAACUGCCUUCGAUACUGGAAGACUUGAGUCCGGGAGAGGUGAGUGGAACUGCGAGUGUAGAGGUGAAAUUCGUAGAUAUUCGCAGGAACACCAGUGGCGAAGGCGGCUCACUGGCCCGGUACUGACGCUGAGGUGCGAAAGCGUGGGGAGCAAACAGG
rnacentral:rRNA from 1 species